ACUCAAAUGAAUAGACGGGGGCUCACACAAGCGGUGGAGCAUGUGGCUCAAUUCGAAGCAACGCGAAGAACCUUAUCCUAGGCUUGACAUGCAUGGAUUAGUCUUGAGAAACCAAGAUGACACUCUCGUAGUGGAACAUGCACAGGUGCUGCAUGGCUGUCGUCAGCUCGUGCUGUGAAGUGUCGGGUUAAGUCCCUUAACGAGCGAAACCCCUGUCGCUAGUUGCUACCAGGUAAUGCUGGGCACUCUAGCGAGACUGCCGGUGUUAAACCGGAGGAAGGUGGGGAUGACGUCAAGUCCUCAUGGCCUUUAUGCCUAGGGCUGCACACGUGCUACAAUGGCGCGAACAGAACGAUGCAAGACCGCAAGGUGGAGCAAAUCGCUUAAAUCGCGCCCCAGUUCGGAUUGAGGGCUGCAACCCGCCCUCAUGAAGUCGGAAUCGCUAGUAAUCGCGGAUCAGCUACGCCGCGGUGAAUAUGUUCCUGAGCCUUGCACACACCGCCCGU
rnacentral:rRNA from 1 species